rnacentral:rRNA from 1 species
UACGUAGGGGGCAAGCGUUGUCCGGAUUCAUUGGGCGUAAAGAGCUCGUAGGCGGUUCGGCAAGUCGGGUGUGAAAACUCCAGGCUCAACCUGGAGACGCCACCCGAUACUGCUGUGACUUGAGUCCGGUAGGGGACCACGGAAUUCCUGGUGUAGCGGUGAAAUGCGCAGACAUCAGGAGGAACACCGGUGGCGAAGGCGGUGGUCUGGGCCGGCACUGACGCUGAGGAGCGAAAGCGUGGGGAGCGAACAGG